AGGAGGAACAGCCCCAGUGGUGGCGGCCAGCUCUGGAGCCCUGGAUUCAGCCCCUGCAGUAACUAUGGAACUCUCCGUCUGCAGGGCCUGGAUGCUCUGGGGGCGG
rnacentral:pre_miRNA from 1 species